GUGAGCUACAGCUCACUUCUUCGGAUGAAGUGAGCUGUAGCUCAUGAAAGCUUAUGCUCAAAUAAUUUUGUUAGUCUCUAAGGUGCCACAAGUACACCUUUUCUUUUUGUAGGUUGUCUAUGUCCCUGCGCUGCUGAUCAGAGAGUUUUGGUAGUAGUCUGUCCCACCCGCACAUGCGUUGCUCCCCGCCUGCCAUUAGGCUAGCCAGCAUGCGUGAGCAAUCUCUCCUCAGUUACUUUUCUACUGCACAGUCAACUACCAGGACUCCAAAAUAGAGGGGAGGAGGGUGCAUCAUGGAGCUCCCAUCAGGCACACAUCUUGAAGAACCAUUGUUAUUGCACAAGGUGAGUAACUUCUUCGAGAGGUGUCCCUAUGGGUGGCUCCACUGUAGGUGAUUCCUGAGCAGUGCCCACCACUGGAGAUUGUGACUUCGGAGUCGAGUCUGAUAUUGAUGAUAGUACUCUGGCACCAAAUUUGGAGUUUGAAGCCAAAUCCCCAGGAUGCCAUAAUGUUCUGUAGAGGUGUGUGCAGAUGCCCAAGUAAUUGCUCUUCAUAUUUCUGAUAUAGGGAUACCCUGGGCAAAGGAUGAAGAGACCGACCUCGUAGAAUGUGUGCGUAUUGAAGACAGGGUUACCAUUAUGCAAUUGGUAACAGAAUUUAAUACAGCCCAAGACGCACUUAGAGAGUCAGUGAGAUGAAAUCACUGUGCCUUUUGACCUAUCUGCAAUGGAAGGAGAAUUUUCUGAAGGCUCUUUUUAUCCUGAUGAGGUUUGGGAUAAAAGGCUGGAAGCUAAAUAAGCUAAUUUAUGUGAAAUGCAGAAGUCACGUUGAGAGUGAAUUUCAGAUGUGGUCUAAGCAUGACCUUGUCAGGAAAGAACCCAGUGAAAGGGGAAUGCGCCAUUGAAACCGCUAUUUCCCCAAUCCUUCUUGCAGAGGUGAUGACUAUGAGAAACACCACCUUCAUGGUAAGGUGAGUUAACGAACAAGUGGCUGGCCAUGGGUUCAAAUGGUGGCCUAGUCAGACCUUUUAAUAGUAGGUUGCGAUCCUAUUGAGGCAUGGGAAGUCUGGGUUGUGGGAAGAAGUUUGCUAUUCAUUUGAUAAACUUCUUCAUAGUCAGAUGGGAGAAGAUUGAAUAUCCUUCUGUCUGCUGAGGGAAGGUUGCAAUUGCUGCUAUGUGAACCAAUAGAGAGUCCUGAUUUCUUGAGACUCAACAGGUAGUCCAGGAUCACUGGUAGGGUGGAUGUAUUAGGCAUGACACUUUUGGGAUGGCCCCAGAUCUGGAAUCUCUUUCAUUUUUGUGGAUAGGUAUUUCCUACUGUGCAAUAACACGUCCUAUACCUCCUUAGAGCAAGACGUCUCUACGUGCUGGAACCAUGAAGGAGCCAGACUUUGAGACACAGAAUCCACAGGUUGGGGUGGAGAGUGUGUCUCUUCAGCAACAGAAGAUAAGGAGUUAUUGGAAGAGUCAUCAGUGGGCAUAAUGCCAGCUGUGACAGGUAAGGGUACCACGUCUGUCUGGGCCAAGUGGGAGAAAUCAGUAUGUUUGCGCUCUCUUCACUUUCAACAGGACUUUCAAUAUUAGACGUAAUGGGGGAAAAGCGUAAAGAAGGCCUUUGUCCCAUGGAUGGAGGAGGGCAUCUUCCAUGGAAUGUCGUCUGAUCCCCACUCAAGCAGUACUGUGGACACUGCUUGUUCUGCAGGAGGAAACAAGUGCACAUGUUGAUGUGGAGGCUUCUCUCACCUGGAGACCAUUUGUCCUGUAUUGUGCGACCAUUGAGAUACGUGCAGUUAGGAGUAGAGAUGGGGAAGACUGAACAAACAGGAUUCCCGUACAGAUGUUUACUGGGAUUGCUUGACCCUGGCCCAGAUUCUGAAACAGAUCUAGUGUCGUCUCAGUGACUUGCUGGGAUUCUGCAAAGGACCAGACCCUGAGAAGGCAGUCCAUGUGUAUAAAUCCCAAGGGAUCGAAGAGUGGCCCUCAAAUCUUUUAACAUGUGGAGGGACGCAUCUGUCUUUUCAGCAAAUAAUUUUGUCCCCUAAAAAGGGAAGUCCUCCACAGUCAUUUGGACCUCCUUGGGGAAGUCAAAGAGAUGAAGCCACGAGGCCUGUCUCAUCACAACGCAGACAAAAUAGAACAUGCCACCGUCAAAUGCAUACUGGAGCGACUGUCACCAGCUGGCCCUCGUUAACCAAGGCCUUAAAUUGGUCCUUGUGAGAAUGGGGGAGUUAUUCAAUAUUUCAAUAAAAUAACUAAAUUUCACAUAGUUCUGAGCCAUAGUUAGCCCAGAAGGCUUGAUAGUUCACCACUUUGAAUUGAAGGGUAGCUGAGGCGCGGGCCUUACUGCAAAACAGGUCCAGGCACUCCCAGUCCUGGUAUAAGGGGUGGACUUAAAGUGGUUUUGGCAGCCUUUAGAGUUAAUUGCAUCCACAAUGAUCAAAUUGGGAGGCAAGUGUGAGAACAGGAAUUCUGUGUCCUUUGCUGGCACAUAAUAUUUCUUGUCCAUCCUCUUCAAGUUGGUGGGAUGGAUGCAGAGGCCUGCCAUAUCACCUUGGCAGAAUCCAGUAGAGCCUCAAUAAUAGGGAGGGGGCACUCUGGAGGAGGUGGAGGAAUGCGGAAUGUCCACCACAUAGUGGUGCAACUCAGACACCUCUUGUAAAGGUCUCUGUCACCCUCUGUGCCAAGUCCUGGAACAGCUUAAAGUCAUCCGGCAUGGAUGGCGGAGGGGGCAUCACAGUUUCAUCUGGUGAUAAUGAUGAAAAGUGGGCUGGAGGAGUGACGACUUCUUUGACUUUGGCCUCCCUUGCCUGCUCGGGGAGUUCAGAGGCCCUUGAGGCAGCAGCUGAAGGAGGGUACUUCCUCAGCUGUUGGUACACCAUACUAUCAGUGAUGGAGGCCUGUUGCCUUUGGGCCUGCCGGAGUCCCAGUAUGGCCACUGUGAUGGGAAGGGGUGCAGUGGUUGGUACCAUGGUUGCCCAUACUAGGGAUGUUGUGGGUCAGAAGGGUGUCCAUAGUGAAACUGGGCUCUGUAUGGCGGGUG